UUUUUCAUUUCAGACAUGGGGGGGAUGGGGACUGGCUCUGUUUACGCAAACGCAUGCAUUCAAAUAGAUGGAAGCAUACAUAAAAAGAUAGACAGAAAAUUGAUCCUAGCAAAAAUCCUUUUCACAUUCUCUCUCCUCUCGUUUCAGCCUCUCAAAGCGAGCCUUGAUCACAGGGAGCUGAGCUCUUUGCCAACACAGCCCUUGGCAAGGGCUGAUCUCUGAGCGCACGCCUGGUGCUACUGACGGGGCAGGGAUUUAACAGCUCACGCAACCAAACCCUCAACUCAGCCUUGUCCUACACCCUCCUCCUCACACAUGGCUGGUGCAUCAUUGCAUGGGAGAUUCAUGCCCUGGCCAGGGAACUGAAUUUUUCUUUUUUCCCCAAGGAAGCAAAGACCAACUCAUCUUGCCAUGGGCAUCAAGGAUCCCAGGUGAGCAGCACAAUACAGCCCCAUGUCAAGGUGUGCUUAACAUCAGCUUCCCACUCCUCAGGACAGACACACAUCUUCACUUCCCAGGGGAGCACCCAAGCUGUUAAUAAGGGCCUGGAGGUGGAAAGCAUUACGUUCAAGAGCAGAGGGAGCAGCAGUAGCUGUGAGAAGCAGCCUUACAAACUGGAACCAGAGCUGGCAGCAGUGCUGGAGCACUGGCAUGGAUCAGGCUGAAGAAAAAGAAUUAACAGUUCCAUGCUCAGAAGCCUGGAGAGUGAGAAAGCAGCUGUCACCUAUGGACGGAGGGGAAAUGCUGAGCUGCCACACAUAAACUCAGCGGGCUGUUUAAAGAAGAUGCACACAUCUGAAUGCUCUCACUGCUGCUGUUCCUUUCUGAAUUUGGCCUUGGCACCAUGGCAGGGAUCAGCCCUGCCUGCAGGACAGGAGUGGGAUGGGAUGGGAUGGGAUGGGAUGGGAUGGGAUGGGAUGGGAUGGGAUGGGAUGGGAUGGGAUGGGAUGGGAUGGGAUGGGAUGGGAUGGGAUGGGAUGGGAUGGGAGAGGGGCUGGGUGAGGUCACGCGUGCCGGGCACGGCGGCGGCUGCGAGCGCACCUGAGAGAGGGGCUGGCACCAUAAAAUAUGCAUGGGCCCUUCUGCAGCAAACAAAUCUACUUAAUUGA
rnacentral:lncRNA from 1 species